AAAAUAAUAAUUAAAUGAUAUGAAAUCAUUAAUUAAGGUGGUAGAGUUGAUUCAUGACCUACAAAUUACAUUAAGGAAGGUUAUUAUUAUACUAACUAUGUCCCCCCUAACCCUCUCUUUGAGAAGGCUAGAGGACAUUGGAGAUAGUAUUAAAACCUAAAGGGAAACCUAUAAUAAGAAAAAUAGUGAAUUGAAACAUCUUAGUAGCUAUAAAAAGAAAAUAACAAUGAUUUAUAAAGUAGUGGUGAACGAAAUAUAAAGAGUUCUAUGAGUAAUACAUAGAAAGUGUAUGAAUAUAACUGCAUAAACAGUUAAGACUAAAAACUUAAUGUAAAUAACAUAAGUACUGUGAAGGAAAUAUGGAUAGUGGAUCAAUAUAGCUAAUAAUAUUCUAAUAUGAAUAUUAUGUACCUAUUGCAUAAUGGGUUGGUUAGUUAUUAGAUAUAGCAAAUCAAAAAUAACUUAAGAAAUUAAGAUAAGAAGAUAUAUAUAACUAAAAAAGUAAGAAGUUAUAUUUAAUAUACCCGAAACUAGAUGAUUUUUUCUUGACCAAGUAAUUCAUUAAUUUGAAUUGACUGAACGGUAAUUUGUAGCAAUAAAUUCCGAUGAGUUGAGAAAGGGAAGUGAAAGACAAAUCUGAUUUAGAUAUAGCUGGUUGUCGACGAAAUAUAUAUUAGUAUAGACCAUUUAAUAUUACUAUAAUAUUACAGCAAUUUUUAUUGACAUAAUCAUUAAAUUUUAAUGAUAAUAAUAUUGGGGAUCCUAAACGAUUUAUCAACAAUAAAUAACCUCGAAAUAUGAUAUGUAAUACAUAAAUGGAUUCGGACUAUUUACUUUAAGGUAAUUAGUCAAUAGGGCAAUAACCCGAAUAAAUGAUAAAGUACCAAAAUAAUAUUAAGUGUUAUCAACAUAAAUUUGUAUUAAUACGUUUUAAUUACUGGGUUUGAUAGUAACUAUGUUUUAAUUAACGUGUAACAACGAAUUAAAUAAUAAAUACAGUUUGUGAUAAAUUAUUAGUGCUAUAAAUAUUAUACUGAUUCAUUUAAUAUCUAGAAUUAAUAAUAUUAAUUACUGGAUAAGAUAGUCGACUACAUAAUGAGAGAAAAAUCUAUAGAAAUAUAAUAUUAAAGUCUAUAGAUUAUUGAAUUAUGUUAAAACUGCUAACAUGAGUAACGUAAAUUGGUAAUGUCUAACUCUUACUACCCGCUUGCGGGUCGGAGUUAAAUGAUAAAAACCAAUUCAUCUUAAAAGCGAGGUUUUAAUAGAAAAUACGGAUUCUAAGCAAAUAAUUUUGACAAAAAUUAGGCGAUGAAAAAAUAAAUUGUACAGUUAAAGUAAUAUAUUUUAUAUAUUAUAUUAUACUCAAGAAAUAUAAUUUAUAAUAACCGUAAUUAUACCGACACAGGUGCUUAUAUAGAGAAUAUUAAGAUGAACGAGUGUAAUGAAUAUUAAGGAACUCGGCAAAAAAAAUGAUAAAUAAUUCAUAUAAAAACGAAGUUGUACAACUGUUUAACUAAAACACAGCACAUUGCAGAUAUUAAAUUAUUAGUAUAAUGUGUGAACUCUGCUCAAUGCUUAGAAAUAAAUGAAUUGAUUAAUUUUGUGAUCGAUUUUCAAUACUUUGCAAAUAGCAGCCUUAACGUGAGGGUUCUAAGGUAGCGAAAUUCCUAGGCUAAUAAUUGUAGUCCUGCAUGAAUGACGUAAUGAUACAACAACUGUCUCGAUAUUCAACUCGGUGAAAUUAAAUAUGUCGUGAAUAUUCGACAUGAAACAUGUAAUUAGACGAAAAGACUUAGGCAGCUUUACUAUAACAUAUUAUUGUUAAUAAUGGGAUCUUUAAAAGAUUAUUAUACAUAUUCGGGAAAUAGAAGAUCAUAUGUUUAACAUAUGGUAUUAUUAAUAUAUAAAUAUUUAAAUAUUUAUAUAUUAAUAAUGUAUUUGCUCACCUUUCAAGGUUAGUAAAUUAUAAUAUUUAUCUCAAUCCGUCCAACCCUUAUUAAGGGUUGGGCGGGUAGUGUAUAAACUCAUUAUUAUAUUUAUAAUUAUAAAUAGCAAGUAAUUAAAUUAUGUAUAUAAUUAAAAUUUGGAAGAAUUACUUUAAUUAUAAAUAAAGACUUAUUUUACCAAUAAUUUAAAGAUUAAAUUGGGUAGAAGAACGUGAUAUGUGGUUAGUUUUACUGGGGCGGUAUUUUCAUAAAAACUAUCUGAAAAUUCCAUAAUGAUAAUAAUUUUAAUUAAAAUUAGUUAUAAUUAAUAUAUGAUCAAGUUAGUAAAGAAAACUAAAUUCAUUAAAUAAAGAUGAAUAGAAUCAAUAAUAGGAUAAUCAUAUAUGAUUUAAGUUUCAACAAAAAUUUAAAGGAUGAAAAUCUGGUAUAGUGAACAGAACAUUAUAUUGAAUUUAUAGAGUGUUCGAUUAAAGGAUAAAAGUUACGCCUUAGAUAACUGGUUAAUUUGGAUAAUAGUUCUAAUCGUAAUCCAAGCUUAACACCUCGAUGUCGGCUUACGUUAUCCUAGAAGUGAAGCAGCUUCUAAAGGUUAAACUGUUCGUAUAUUAAAAACGUACAUGAGCUGGGUUCAGUGCAUUGUGAGAUAGCACGGUUUCUAUCUUUUACAUGGUAAAUGUUUCUAUUUAAUUGGUUUACUUAGUACGACAGGAUUGGUAAACAAUUAUCACUGGUUAAUCAUUAAGUAUAUUUAUAAAUAUAUAAAUAUAACGUGAUUAAGCUACAUAAUUAAAUAAUAAAAAUUGAAAGAAUAUAAAAUUUGAAGUAUAAUUAGUUAGGCAUAUAAUAUAUAUUGUAGAUUACAAUAUCGUAUAUAUUCAAAUAAUAUAUACAAUCGACUAGAAUAUAGUCUGAUUUAAUAUACACCUUAAUUAAUACAUAUCUU
rnacentral:rRNA from 1 species